AUUGAACGCUGGCGGCAGGCCUAACACAUGCAAGUCGAGCGAGCGGCGGACGGGAGUGUAUUGCCUGGGAAUUGUACAGUCGGGGGGGAUCACAGUUGGAAAGGACUGCUAAUACCGCAUACGAUGGGACUGCCCAGGUGGGAUUAGCUAGUUGGUGAGGUAAUGGCUCACCAAGGCGACGAUCCCUAGCUGGUCUGAGAGGAGGAUCAGCCACACUGGAACUGAGACACGGUCCAGACUCCUACGGGAGGCAGCAGUGGGGAAUAUUGCACAAUGGGGGAAACCCUGAUGCAGCCAUGCCGCGUGUAUGAAGAAGGCCUUCGGGUUGUAAAGCACUUUCAGCGGGGAGGCGUUACUCACAGAAGAAGCACCGGCUAACUCCGUGCCAGCAGCCGCGGUAAUAC
rnacentral:rRNA from 1 species